ACGGGUGAGUAAUACAUCGGAACGUAUCCUGGAGUGGGGGAUAGCCCGGCGAAAGCCGGAUUAAUACCGCAUACGCUCUGAGGAGGAAAGCGGGGGACCUUCGGGCCUCGCGCUCAAGGGGCGGCCGAUGGCGGAUUAGGUAGUUGGUGGGGUAAAGGCCUACCAAGCCGACGAUCCGUAGCUGGUCUGAGAGGACGACCAGCCACACUGGGACUGAGACACGGCCCAGACUCCUACGGGAGGCAGCAGUGGGGAAUUUUGGACAAUGGGGGCAACCCUGAUCCAGCAAUGCCGCGUGUGUGAAGAAGGCCUUCGGGUUGUAAAGCACUUUUGUCCGGAAAGAAAUCAUCGGGGCCAAUACCCCUGGUGGAUGACGGUACCGGAAGAAUAAGCACCGGCUAACUACGUGCCAGCAGCCGCGGUAAUACGUAGGGUGCGAGCGUUAAUCGGAAUUACUGGGCGUAAAGCGUGCGCAGGCGGUGCUGUAAGACCGAUGUGAAAUCCCCGGGCUUAACCUGGGGACUGCAUUGGUGACUGCAGCGCUGGAGUAUGGCAGAGGGGGGUGGAAUUCCACGU
rnacentral:rRNA from 1 species